GGCGCCGCUGCUAGGAGCCCGGCAGGAAGCCCCCCGCUACCGCCAGCUUUAACGUCCCAUCUGCAAAGGAAGGGAGGUUCACAGCACCUAAGCUGCUUCCCUAGGUCAUACGGCCGGGAGGUAGAAGGCGUGCAGACACGUGGCAAGGAGCACACGUGGCGUGCUUGUCCCCGGGUGCCCCUGUCCCGCACAGCCUACCACCCCGACCUCAGGAAUGUGCGGGAGCGGGGCCGGAAGCAGUUGUGGCUCCCCGAGUCAGCUGGGCACAGCUUUCCCAUAUAAGGCCGGGCCCUGCGGGGAGGAGCUGGGUUUGGGACGCCCCCGUUCCUGCCACGAGGCCGGAGGGUUGGACCCUCAUAGCUCUGGGGCGCAGCAAUGGCGGGCACGGAGCCGUGGAACCUCAGGGCGGGGCUCCCAAACCUUGCGUGAGUGGGGUCUGAUACUGGAGAAUCCCUGAGAUCAAGAGUGCGUGGACACCCAGCCUGGCUUUCCCUCUGGAUAACGCUCCUGAGUCUGCGACCCUCAAGAGGACACUGACUUCCUGAGGGGCGGCGAAGAUGACUGGAGGGUGGGCCUCUUUGGAGACGCAACCCCAUCUCCAGUGGCUGCAGUGAACUCAAGAUAAGGUUAAGGUGCUGGCCCCAGGACACACAGGCCAACUGCCUGGGGAGAUGAAGGCAACUAGGCCAAGUGGCCCCAGUCUCUGCCUUUAAGGGCAAGGAUUGUUGGUGGUGUGGGACACUUGUAGAGAAAGUAAAUCUCUACUUUUUUGCCCCGGAUGAUGGGGCUCUGGCCCCUCUCCCGGUCGGCUACUGCAUGGCCUUGUGGAUGGGCACAUUACUGGCCUGCUGUGUUGUCCCACUGCCUGUCUGUACACGGGAGUAGGAAGAAGGCGGUAAACAAGGAUGGAGUGGACUAAUUCAGCCUAAAGUUAGGGCCAUACCUUGUUUAACCCCUGUGCUGACAUUAGCACACCCCAACUCCCUUUAAACAAGUAAAGAAACUCAGGCUUAAAGAAGAAAACUACACAUUAGACAUCACAGAACCCAUAAGGGCUCAUAGUCUAUUUCUUUCUCAUGGUUCUUUCAGACUCUGGGUAUCCCAAGAUCACUCUGGAGUUUGGACCCUGGUAAAGCUUUUAACCUGGA